rnacentral:rRNA from 1 species
UACGGAGGGUGCAAGCGUUAUCCGGAUUCACUGGGUUUAAAGGGUGCGUAGGCGGCGCGGUAAGUCGGGUGUGAAAUCUCGGAGCUUAACUCCGAAACUGCAUUCGAUACUGCCGUGCUUGAGGACUGGAGAGGAGACUGGAAUUUCCGGUGUAGCGGUGAAAUGCGUAGAUAUCGGAAGGAACAUCAGUGGCGAAAGCGGCUUCCUGGACCAGUACCGACGUUCAGGCACGAAAGCGUGGGGAGCAAACAGG